CCUACGGGAGGCAGCAGUGGGGAAUAUUGCACAAUGGGGGAAACCCUGAUGCAGCGACGCCGCGUGAGUGAAGAAGUAAUUCGUUAUGUAAAGCUCUAUCAGCAGGGAAGAAAAUGACGGUACCUGAGUAAUCCGCCCCGGCUCACUACGUUCCAGCAGCCGCGGUACUACGUAGGGGGCAAGCGUUGUCCGGAUUUACUGGGGGUAAAGGGAGCGUAGACGGCAGUGCAAGUCUGGAGGGAAAGGCGGGGGCUCAACCCCCGGACUGCUCUGGAAACUGUACGGCUGGAGUGCAGGAGAGGUAAGUGGAAUUCCUAGUGUAGCGGUGAAAUGCGUAGAUAUUAGGAGGAACACCAGUGGCGAAGGCGGCUUACUGGACUGUAACUGACGUUGAGGCUCGAAAGCGUGGGGAGCAAACAGGAUUAGAUACCCGGGUAGUC
rnacentral:rRNA from 1 species